CUUAGUUGGUGGGGUAAAGGCUCACCUAGGCGACGAUCCGUAACUGGGUCUGAGAGGAUGAUCAGUCACACUGGAACUGAGACACGGUCCAGACUCCUACGGGAGGCAGCAGUGGGGAAUAUUGGACAAUUGGGCGAAAGCCUGAUCCAGCCAUGCCGCGUGUGUGAAGAAGGUCUUCGGAUUGUAAAGCACUUUAAGUUGGGAGGAAGGGCAGUAAGUUAAUACCUUGCUGUUUUGACGUUACCAACAGAAUAAGCACCGGCUAACUUCGUG
rnacentral:rRNA from 1 species